rnacentral:rRNA from 1 species
CUAAGUUUGAUGGCGACCGGCGCACGGGUGAGUAACACGUAUCCAACCUGCCGAUGACUCGGGGAUAGCCUUUCGAAAGGAAGAUUAAUACCCGAUGGCAUAGUUCUUCCGCAUGGUGGAACUAUUAAAGAAUUUCGGUCAUCGAUGGGGAUGCGUUCCAUUAGGUUGUUGGCGGGGUAACGGCCCACCAAGCCUUCGAUGGAUAGGGGUUCUGAGAGGAAGGUCCCCCACAUUGGAACUGAGACACGGUCCAAACUCCUACGGGAGGCAGCAUG